UACGUAGGGGGCAAGCGUUGUCCGGAAUCAUUGGGCGUAAAGGGCGUGUAGGCGGCUUGGCAAGUCUGGUGUGAAAUCUUGCGGCUCAACCGCAAGCGGUCACUGGAAACUGCCUCGCUAGAGUCCGGAAGAGGAGAGCGGAAUUCCUGGUGUAGCGGUGGAAUGCGUAGAGAUCGGGAAGAACAUCAGUGGCGAAGGCGGCCUGCUGGGCUGUUGCUGACGCUGAGGCGCGACAGCGUGGGGAGCAAACAGG
rnacentral:rRNA from 1 species